rnacentral:lncRNA from 1 species
UGGCGGGGCUGUGGUGGGGGAAGCUGAAGCAUGAAGGCUCGAGGAGCACACAGACACCUACACACAGCUCCGCGGGCAUGUGGGGACCCAGACCCACCCCCACAGCAGACACCCCCACAGAGCACUCAUGGCCCCCACAGAAAUACACCCACACUCAUCACAGCAAACCAAAACAAUCACACGCCGGUACACAAACACACACACCCCCGCACCAAUCCAGGCAGACACAAAGCUCACGGCGACAGGCAGAUCUGAUUCACACAGACACAGGCACAGGUGCUUCCUGAUGCCACCCUCUCUUGGUCACGUGCCAGCACUUGGAGGGAGGAAAGUGCCUCACCAGGCUGAGAUGCCCAAGGGACCCCCCAGGGAGGGAAAGCAGGACACACUGGGACAGUUGCUUCCAGCCCUGUCCACACCCUUGUGCCCAUCAGGAAAUAAUCCAGGAUCCAUUUCGUGUGGUCAUCUUGUCUCCCUGGUCCCCUCCAGCCUUUCCUCAUCUUUUGUGACCUGGUCACUCUGGAAGGGCGCUGGCCAGUUAGUCCACAGGAUGGGCCUCCCCUGGGGCUUUUCUGAUGCUUCCUUAUGAUGGCACUGGCAUCCUGAGGGGGAGGACCACAGAGAGGAGGUGCUCCUCAUCACACCACAUGGGGGUCCAUGCACCAGUGCCACUGCUUUCCAGGGCUCUUCACCUUCAUCACUGGUGGAGGUGGCGUCUGCCAAGAAGCAGAAAGUUGAGGCUUAGAAGGUGCACGGCCCUACCUCUUCCGAGGUGCCCCUGCGGGCUGUCUACAGACCAGGCAGCACAUGCCUGAUAGCAGCUGCAUAAGGAAAAGCAGGAGCCAGCUCGUGCACAGUGGCCUCAAGUGUGCACUGGGCAUGUUCUCUGCCUCACCAUCCCUGUGUGACAGAUGAAGCUUCAAGGACCACAGAGGGCCAAGUGCAGGAGUAAGAGGCUGGCGUGCUGACAGUGGCCAAGGGCAUUGGAGGGAAGGACCUGUCAUCACUGGGCCAAGGAAGGAACUCCAGACUGCCUACUUCCAGAGGGCCUGCUGAGAACCCCAAAGAGCUCUCUCAACAAACACACCCACGAGUUCCAGGAGUGAGGCUGCAGGGAACAGCCUCACUCUCAGAGGGGAUACAGAAUUGUUCCACUGGACAAGGGCUGGGAUCGUCAUAGGAUGCCGUUGGCCUGUGGUUUCCAACAGAGGUGCAGUUCAUUGAACUGUGGUCUACAGUCCAUUCUCUAACUUGGGGACCCUUGAAGAAGUGUGGAAUCAUGACAACAACCCUGUUGGGAGACACUAUUAUUCCCAUCACAUGGAUGAGCACACGGAGGCAAAAGGAAGUUAUAUGAUUGUCUGAGAUCACCCAGUGAAGACUGUGUGGCUGGGAGUUGUCCCCAGUGUUAUCUGCACGCUGCUUCCUUUUGAUGCCUGGCCCUUCUUUAUCAAAAGAAGCAUUGGCAGAAUCUGGGUGUUUAUGGGUCAGCUCAAAAUAAAUUACUUUAUAUGUCA